UACAGAGGUCUCAAGCGUUGUUCGGAUUCAUUGGGCGUAAAGGGUGCGUAGGUGGCGUCGUAAGUCAGGUGUGAAAUCCCUCGGCUCAACUGAGGAAUGGCACGGGAAACUGACGGGCUUGAGUUCGGGAGAGGGAAGCGGAAUUCCGGGUGUAGCGGUGAAAUGCGUAGAUAUCCGGAGGAACACCGGUGGCGAAGGCGGCUUCCUGGACCGACACUGACGCUGAGGCGCGAAAGCUAGGGGAGCAAACGGG
rnacentral:rRNA from 1 species